UUUUUUUUUUUUUUUUUUUUUUUUUCAUGUUGAUCUUAACAAUGUCUCUCGACUUAAUGCCUUAAAGAGUUAACUCUUAUUUUUAUUCAAGAUUCACUUGUUCCUUUCAUUACUUUGUCUAUCCACUUUUCAUUUUUGUUGAAGGUUCACCUGUCUUUUUCUUUCCAUGCUUUCUGUUUUCCUUUGACUUUGGGUAUCAGUACUCUUGACAAAAGCAGUGGACCACUCUGUACCUAUUAACCACAAAUGGAAUACGAAACAAAGUGUGUUGGGACGUCCCACACACGGCUGUAGAUUUUUAACCCUUCUUGACAUGAUCUUGAGGCAUUCAGGUGACCCAAUCCACUACUAGGGUGUCAAGGGAUUUGUAUAGAGAGAAUAAUAGCCUUGGCCACCCAGUGCUCAGGCUCAUACUGCUACCUAGUGUGUGUGUGUGUGUGUGUGUGUGUGUGUGUGUGUGUGUGUGUGUGUGUGUGUGUGUGUGUGUGUGUGUGUGUACUAAAGGUGUUACCAUAUCAGGUGUUUCUGUGUCAAAGGCAAAACUUGGUGUACAGUAUCCAGAUCAUAUAUGUAUGCAGGGUGAUAUACAGAGAGUUACAGGUGUUUGUGUACAUAUAUACAUAAUCUGCUAGAUAGACGGCUGGUGUCCCAGGGCUGCCGCACUGCCCUGCCGGCCAUGUUGCAGCCGGCAGUGCCACAAACAGACUUGUGGUGAGGCGGUGGGGGAAACACAAUGCAGUGCAAGCCAAACAACAACACAGUGACGACACGCUGGCACAGAUUCAGUGACGGUUUAUAUUUUUUUAUACUGCGUGCCAGGAAAACUUUUGAGCUCAAGACCUGCGUUGGUGUUUCCUCCCAUGCCACACUGACUUUUUCCCUGUGCUUCCCCUAGCCAGCUUUAAGCUGGCAGGAGGCUGAUGUGUGCAGGGGUGCCACUUAUCUCGACUGCAUCAGUCUAUGUUAAGUUAGUGAAGUGUUAGGUGGGUGUAGGAGGCAGCUGGGGUGUUGCCGGAUGGUGUUGAGUGUUGCUAUACCCCUCAGUGUAGCCACUUGCCUUACCUUGCUGUAGAUAUGAUUCCUUAUGGUUUGACUAACUGUAGUUUCUUUUUAUUAUGUCGUACUAUUAAUGCUGUCAUUAUUGCAUUAUUAGUGUUAUCACCACACACCUCAUAUGUGUGUGUGUGUGUGUGUGCAUGUACAACAUGUGUGUAUCUGUGUGUACAAUGUGUGUGUGUAGACAACAGUGUACUACUACUACUAUAUCUUCUCUUGGUACCUUCACUGUAAGUUGUGAAUGAGACAAUAUGUACUAAUUCAUAUCUAACCAUCUUCCUCCUAACAACUUCCCAGCUCCUGGUGCUAAUGCUGCAGCUGCCAACCAGACUCCUCCCUUUAAUGACCACACAAACCUCCAUUUACCUCAGAGCGGCCUGGCUAUCAAGGGUCCAGGGAGGCAGAGCUUGGCCCUUGUGUAACCCAACCAACUUUUGGUGAUUUCUUGAGCCAAAAUAUGUGUUAUUUUCUUUGAGAUUUGAUAUGAGGUUGAGGAGUGCUUUGUUACUUGGUGAAUGUUUUGAGUAUUGGCAUCAGAGAGAGAGAGAGAGAGAGAGAGAGAGAGAGAGAGAGAGAGAGAGAGAGAGAGAGAGAGAGA